rfam:Gordonia polyisoprenivorans VH2, complete genome.
GGGGCUGAUCGGUUUCGACUCUGUACGCCGAGGCGGGGGAAGCGUGUCGGUGCAGGCCAGAGACCACCGUAUAAGCGUCGCGGCAACCAAUUAAGCGCCGAUAAGAAUCAGCGCGACUACGCCCUCGCUGCCUGACAGCGGGCCCGUAGUCUGUCGGCCCGGACUCUGCUCCCAAGUCCGGUGCCGGCAUCAUCUUUGGGAGCUCACCGUUCGCACCGGUCGCGGGUGCGAAGGGGACAACCAACAGCGACUGGGAUCGUCAUCUCGGCUUGUUCACGUGACCGGGAGAUCCGAGUAGAGACAGAGUGAACUGCACACGGAGAAGCCCCGCCAACCCGACGGAGGACCCGGGUUCAAUUCCCGGCAGCUCCACGG